rnacentral:snRNA from 1 species
UUGAAGCUAGAGGUGUCAG